rnacentral:sRNA from 1 species
UCCAGGACCACUCGUGUCUGAGGGCCGGC